GGGGGCGGGCAGAAGGGAAAGGCAAGGUGAGAAAGAUGGAGAAGGGCCAUAUGGAAGGGAAGGGGUAGAAGGGCUAGGGAGGAGACUAGAAGGUUUCCCACUGACUGUCCUAAUUGUGGCAGGACAAGGUUUUCCCAGACUCAGAAGCAAGUGGGAGCCUGCCUGCCAGAACCUUCUAGAUCAAGUGCUCAGCCUGCUGACGACACUCGGAGAGUGGGAAUCAGAGGAAGAGAGAACCAAAGACCCUGCUUCUAAACGCAUCGAGAUUGGUUGCUGGGACAAAUGAGCUCCGUGACACAUCACAGUGCAAGCGCCACAGAAGGUCUAACUCUUAAAAGUUUCCAUGCACUGGCUCUCCUCCCAUGGAUUCAAAGCCAUGUGAUUCAAAGCUAUCCUGUAGAUGCUUCUGUCAUCUGAUAGAUGUGGCUGUCCCUCAGCUGUGACAUCCAUCUGUUAAGCUGGAAGAGGCAAGAGCUGGAGAAGGCAUGACAGGGCCAUUUUCUUACUGACCCUCACUCUACAGAAGCCACGUCAGGAGGAAGAUGAGAGAGAGAAGAUCAGCCAAGAGCCUGACCUCAGGUGAAUAAGUCCUCAAAGGUCUAGCACCUUAGAUGUGUCAUUAAAGAAGGAGAUGCGUCUUGGGACAGAGUCUUCUCUCUGGUACUUCAGGAAGGCCAGACCUUGGAAGUCAGCCAAGAAAAGGGGAUCAGUUGUUGAAGCGCCCAACGUGCUCAGGUUCAAGAGAAUAAGAAAGCAGAGACCACAGUGGCCCACCUGGUUUGCAUAAUGGUCCCUUGGAGAUUCUAGCCCAGCCACUGUGGACACAGGACCCGGGAGUCUGCUGAUCCUCCUCAGUCAUCUCCUGCUUGUAUGAUGUCACGUUUCCAUGGUGUCCUCCUUAGCCACCAAGUGGUAUUUCCUGUGCUUAGGCGUCUGUUGAGAAUGCAGGAGGUAGAAGGUGCAGUCAGAAAGCCAUUGGCUCUGCCCCACAGUCCUGGAGUAAACCUGGCCUGACUGUCUAGCUCCACUCAGUACCAGGGCUCUAUGUUCUGUCAGUUUAGCUGCUGAAGGGACCAUCUAUCGAUCCAUCUGACUUACCGAGAUGGGGAGGAAUCGCAGGUAGCCCUGGUGGACACCGUGGGGGAUCACGGUGGCAAGUUCGUCACGGCCAUCCAGGAUGCCCAGCCACCAGGAACUCUUCUCUCGGAUGGAACAGACCAUCCCCCAGAGCCUGAAGUCUCCAGUAAAGACCACAGAAUCACCAUGCCGUGUUAUCUAAAGCCUAAACCACUUCCCCUGGACCAGAGAAUUGGAGACCCCUUUCUCUGUACCCGGGGAGAGUCUAGGUACGGCUGUUUUCUUAGAUCCAUGCAGUUGUCAGUCCAAGACCAAUCCCCGACUGUCUAUGUGGCUCCAUUGUACCCUCCAGGAGCUGCCGUUUCCUUAUGCAUCACACACAGUAGGACGAGGGAUCUUGAGAGAUGCCAAACAGCAACCGUAUCCAAAGAGUUAAAAAAAAAAAUACUGCUUCCCCAGUUUCUCCUUUCUGGCUAUCUCAUAGUGAGGAGAAUUGUUGCCAGAGUGAGGAGGUGGCAGGGAGGAGAAACUGCCCAGUUACACUGCCACCAGGAGCCAGAAGCAAGGUCGGCAGGUUGGUUAGUUCAAGACUAGUACAAUGGGAUAUUUGCAGAGCCUCUGCCCCCUAGUGGUAGUGAUCUGGAACUGCGUCAGCUGGUAGCUUUCUUAGGAGAGCAUCCAAAGAAGUGGUAGUGUCCACGUCAGAGAGCAUCCUGUGUCAUGUCCACGUCCACACUGGGCAUUUCCCACAGCACUCAGGAUUGUAUUUGUCUUUACCUCAAGUCCGAUUGUUUAGUUCCUUAUGACUCCUCCUCACUCCUGAUGGUGAGUUAAGAAUUUUGAGAAAGUAUGGCUUGUUACCAAGUUUUAGGGGUCAUCUUAUUAGAAGAAUAUUUUUCUUGUUUGCAAGUUAACAUCAGGGAAAGGAGGCCACUUGGUCUGUGUCUUCCCAGCUCACAUCCUGGUGUCUGUUUGCCUAGGAUAGCCCCAAAGCCAGUGUGCCCGAGCCUCAGUCAGUCCUGAGACUGUAACUCUGACCUUGACCUGCAUCUCCCAGGGCCUUGAGUGUCCACCCACUCACACGAUAGUGGUCUGGAGGUCCUCUGGGGAGCACUAGGCUGGGUGGAUAUGCUAAAGAGUCUGAUGAGCCAAGAUGACUCCACCCCUCUUACCCCAGUGCCUGAAGAUCUGACUGUGGCAGCUGCAGGAGAGAUGUCAAGGACGGGGUGGCACAGACAGCUAUUGGAAGCCAGUGUCCCCUUCCGGAAGGGACAUUUGAUAUCCCUCUGAUAUAAAAUCCAGCUUUGCUAUUUGAUACAUACGCCUGUGCUGGAAGCUACAAUGUGAGUUCAGUCAGCUGGCAACCAGCAUCACCCCAAUAUACCAUCACACUUACACAGACACACACACACACACACACACACACACACACACACACAGAGAGAGAGAGAGAGAGACAGAGACAGAGACAGAGACAGAGAGAGACAGACAGACACAGACACACAGAAAGAGACAGACAGACACAGACACACAGAGACAGACAGACACAGACACACAGAGACAGACAGACAGACACAGACACACAGAGACAGACAGAGACAGAGACACAGAGAGAUAGAGAUAAAGAGAAACCUAGAGACAGAUAUACAAAUACAGAUGCAAACACACACGUGUAUAAGGUCAUGGAAAUACAGACAGGCUUAAUCAGACAAACAGACACAUACAAACGGGAGACACAGAGCCUGUACAUCCCUUCUUGGUGGCCGUCUGCUUUCAUGGACAUCCUUCAGGAUGGGCGGAUGUUUGCCUUCAGCUGGGAAAACUGAGACCAACUAUGCUAAUCCUGUAGCUGGGGCCUGCCUGUGCCAUCCCAAAGCUUGGCAUUCCGUUAGGUCUUUACUCAAACCUAUGCAGCAUUCGUGGUGGGCACGCUAGUGUUUGAGGGUCGCUGUGAGCUAUGCUGGUCUUCCUGGGGUCCUCCUGGUCAUGACCUGGCCUGCGUUCAGCGCAGGGAUUUAUUUAAUCACUGUCCUGGGAUUUUGGCAUUUCAAGGUCUCUCCUGGUCUGAGAAGUGUAUUCUGAUGUCCCCCCUUCAUCAUCCACGAUCCAUGAAGUCCCCACAUAUCUGCCUUCCAGCUCCAAAGUCGGCCAGGAGGGCCCUUGUAAUCACGGCACAUGGAACAUCAGUCUGUGCCAAGAUGCACAGGCAGAGCCUUUCCAAGCCAGAGCUAACACAGACAUGGCCCUUGGGGAUCUGUGCUGAAAAGACGCCAGGGCUGAAGUCCAGUCUGAAAGCCUCUGUUUUCCAAACAAGGGGCAGAGAGAGGAGCUGGGUGCCAGAGUAGAGACCCUCUGCCUGCCCUCCUUGUGUUCUCAGACAGGUUCUCAGUAUGCAGCCCAAGUUGACCUUGGAUUCACAAACCUCCUGCUUUGCGGACCGAAUGCUGGACUGACUGGCAGACACACAACAUUAUAUCCAGCUGUACGGCCUUCUCUCAGAGCUGAGAGGCAAAGCCAUUGCCUCUGCCCAUGACCAGGCUGAAGUCCCAGGCCCCAGUGUGCCAGGGUGAGGGCCACUGAGUUCAUCCAAUUCAUCCAGCCCUGCACCCAGGGAAGAGCUGAUGACUCCAGUCAAGAGGCCCAACUGAGAGGGUUCACCCAGGCUCUCUUUGCAAGGACCGCUUAGGUCAUGUAGUGGGAGGAGCUUCCAUAAGCUCUCAGAGUGGAAAACUGACUCGGAGGUGGUCCCAGGCUGAGGGCACUCUGGCUGCAGUGGUAUGGGUCUUGGCAGGGGUCGCUGAGAGACAGAUUGAGCCUUGUCCUCCCACAGAGCCUGCUGCUUGGCUAAAGGCAACUGCCCAUCAGCGACAUGGCCCAGCAGUGUCGCUCCUCAGCUGACAGCUUGCCUGACACCGUGGCCUCUUCUCAGGGAAGGACUGAAGGAUGCACACAUGGCGUGCCUGCCCCUGGGUGCUGAAGCAGUGGUAUCCAGGGACGUCGUGCUGGCUAACGUUAUAACGUCAACUUGUCACAGGCUCCAGUUAUCUGAGAAUAGGAGACCCCGGUUAAGAAAAUGCCUCUCGGGGGGCUGGGGAUUUAGCUCAGUGGUAGAGCGCUUACCUAGGAAGCGCAAGGCCCUGGGUUCGGUCCCCAGCUCCGAAAAAAAGAACCAAAAAAAAAAAAGAAAGAAAGAAAGAAAAUGCCUCUCGGGCUGGAGAGAUGGCGCAGCUGUUAAAGGCGAGGCUCACAACCAAAAAUAUAAGAAAAUGCCUCUCCAAAUGGAGGGAACUGGAAAAUAUCAUCCUGUGUGAGGUAACCCAAUCACAGAAAAACACACAAGGUAUGCACUCAUUGAUAAGUGGCUAUUAGCCCAAAUGCUCGAAUUACCCUAGAUGCACAGAACACAUGAAACUCAAGUCGGAUGAUCAAAAUGCGAAUGCUUCACUCCUUCUUUAAAAGGGGAACAUGAAUACCCUUGGCAGGGAAUAGGGAGACAAAGUUUAGAACAGAGGCAGGAGGAACACCCAUUCAGAGCCUGCCCUACAUGUGGCCCAUACAUAUACAGCCACCAAACUAGAUAAGAUGGAUGAAGCAAAGAAGUGCAGGCUGACAGGAACCGGAUGUAGAUCUCUUCUGAGAGACACAACCAGAAUACAGCAAAUACAUAGGCGAAUGCCAGCAGCAAACCACUGAACUGAGAAUGGGACCCCCGUUGAAGGAAUCGGAGAAAGGACUGGAAGAGCUUGAAGGGGCUCGAGACCCCAUAUGAACAACAACGCCAACCAAUCAGAGCUUCCAGGGACUAAGCCACUACCCAAAGACUAUACAUGGACUGACCCUGGACUCUGACCUCAUAGGUAGCAAUGAAUAGCCUAGUAAGAGCACCAGUGGAAGGGGAAGCCCUUGGUCCUGCUAGGACUGAACCCCCAGUGAACGUGAUUGUUGGGGGGAGGGCGGUAAUGGGGGGAGGAUGGUAAUGGGGGGAGGAUGGGGAGGGGAACACCCAUAAAGAAGGGGAGGGGGAGGGAUUAGGGGGAUGUUGGCCCGGAAACCGGGAAAGGGAAUAACAUUUGAAAUGUAAAUAAGAAAUACUCGUUAAUAAAAAAAAAAUAGAAAAUGCCUCUCUAAGAUUGUGCUGUAGGCAAGCUUGUAAAACACUUUCUUGAUCAGUGAUUGUAGGUGGUGUCAUCCCUGGGCUGACAUCCUGGGUUCUAUAAGAAAGCAGGCUGAGCAAGCCAUGGGGAGCAAGUCAACAAGCAACAUUCGUCCAUGACCUCUGCAUUAGCUCCUGCCUCCACGUUCUUGCCCUGCUUGAGUUCCUGUCCUCACUGCUUUUGAUGAUAAACUGGUCUAUGGAACUGUAAGUGAAAUAAACUCUUUCCUCCCCAGCUUUUCUGGGCAUGGCAUUUCAUCGUAGCCAUAGUAACCCUGACCCUACAGUUUCUGGUAGUCUCUCAACAAACCCAAGCACCACAUAAGUGAAGGAGAUUGGGAAGGGUGUACAGAUGUAUUUCUGCCUUCGUUGGUGUUUAUAUGGAGACCACCCUGGCCAACGCCACAACUCCCAUACCUCAUUUACCUUGCUCGAUGCACACCCCUAACAUAUGAAGCACACACAGAUACUGCAGAUGAGCACACAGCAUUGCCUUGCACACAGGAGGACACCCAGGUAUGGGUCUACGAUACUCAGUGUGGGUCCACAAUACUCAGUGUGGGACCGUGAUACUCCAUAUAGGUCAACGAUACUCAGCGCAGUUUGGAUAUUUUUGAAAGAAGCAUGGGAAGUGACAGAAUCUAGACUCCUGGUCAUCUACUUUUAACACUGGCAGGCUGUGCAGCAUGUGAUAAGACACUUGACCUCCCAUGCUCAUGGAUUGGCAGGAUUAAUAUAGUAAAAAUGGCCAUUUUACCAAAAGUGAUCUACAGAUUCAAUGCAAUCCCCAUCAAAAUACCAAUCCAAUUCUUCAAAGAGUUAGACAGAACAAUUUGCAAAUUCAUCUGGAAUAACAAAAAACCCAGGAUAGCUAAAACUAUCCUCAACAAUAAAAGGACUUCAGGGGGAAUCACUAUCCCUGAACUCAAGCAGUAUUACAGAGCAAUAGUGAUAAAAACUGCAUGGUAUUGGUACAGAGACAGACAGAUAGACCAAUGGAAUAGAAUUGAAGACCCAGAAAUGAACCCACACACCUAUGAUCACUUGAUUUUUUGACAAAGGAGCCAAAACCAUCCAAUGGAAAAAAGAUAGCCUUUUCAGCAAAUGGUGUUGGUUCAACUAAAGGUCAGCAUGUAGAAGAAUGCAGAUCGAUCCAUGCUUAUCACCUUGUACAAAGCUUAAGUCCAAGUGGAUCAAGGACCUCCACAUCAAACCAGAUACACUCAAACUAAUAGAAGAAAAAGUGGGGAAGCAUCUUGAACACAUGGGCACUGGAGAAAAUUUCCUGAACAAAACACCAAUGGCUUAUGCUCUAAGAUCAAAAAUGGACAAAUGGGAUCUCAUUAAACUGCAAAGCUUCUGUAAGGCAAAGGACACUGUGAUUAGAACAAAACAGCAACCAAUAGAUUGGGAGAAGAUCUUUACCAAUCCUACAACAGAUAGAGGGCUUAUAUCCAAAAUAUACAAAGAACUCAAGAAGUUAGACUGCAGGGAGACAAAUAACCCUAUUAAAAUGGGGUACAGAGUUAAAGAAUUCACAGCUGAUGAAUGCUGAAUGCCUGAGGAACACCUAAAGAAAUGUUCAACAUCUUUAGUCAUAAGGGAAAUGCAAAUCAAAACAACCCUGAGAUUUCACCUCACACCAGUGAGAAUGUUUAAGAUCAAAAACUCAGGUGACGGGCUGGAGAGAUGGCUCAGCGGUUAAGAGCGCCCGACUGCUCUUCCAGAGGUCAUGAGUUCAAUUCCCAGCAACCACAUGGUGGCUCACAACCAUCUGUAAAGAGAUCUGAUGCCCUCUUCUGGUGUAUCUGAAGACAGCUACAGUGUACUUAUAUAUAAUAAAUAAAUAAAUCUUUAAAAAAAAAAAGAAGGACAAAAAACAAUUAAAAAAAAAAACUCAGGUGACAGCAAAUGCUGACGAGGAUGUGGAGAAAGAGGAACACUCCUCCAUUGUUGGUGGGAUUGCAGACUGGUAAAACCAUUCUGGAAAUCAGUCUGGAGGUUCCUCAGAAAAUUGGACAUUGAACUACCUGAGGACCCAGCUAUACCUCUCCUGGGCAUAUACCCAAAAGAUGCCCAACAUAUAACAAAGACACGUGCUCCACUAUGUUAAUAGCAGCCUUAUUUAUAAUAGCCAGAAGCUGGAAAGAACCCAGAUGCCUUUCAACAGAGGAAUGGAUACAGAAAAUGUGGUACAUCUACACAAUGGAAUAUUAUUCAGCUAUCAAAAACAAUGACUUUAUGAAAUUCAUAGGCAAAUGGAGGGAACUGGAAAAUAUCAUCCUGUGUGAGGUAACCCAAUCACAGAAAAACACACAAGGUAUGCAUUCAUUGAUAAGUGGCUAUUAGCCCAAAUGCUCGAAUUACCCUAGAUGCACAGAACACAUGAAACUCAAGUCGGAUGAUCAAAAUGUGAAUGCUUCACUCCCUCUUUAAAAGGGGGACAAGAAUACCCUUGGCAGGGAAUAUGGAGGCAAAGAUUAAAACAGAGACUGAAGGAACACCCAUUCAGAGCCUGCCCCACAUGUGGCCCAUACAUAUACAGCCACCAAACUAGAUAAGAUGGAUGAAGCAAAAAAGUGCAGGCUGACAGGAACCGGAUGUAUAUCUCUCCUGAGAGACACAGCCAGAAUACAGCAAAUACAUAGGCGAAUGCCAGCAGCAAACCACUGAACUGAGAAUAGGACCCCCGUUGAAGGAAUCAGAGAAAGGACUGAAAGAGCUUGAAGGGGCUCGAGACCCCAUAUGAACAACAAUGCCAAGCAACCAGAGCUUCCAGGGACUAAGCCACUACCUAAAGACUAUACAUGGACUGACCCUGGACUCUGACCUCAUAGGUAGCAAUGAAUAGCCUAGUAAGAGCACCAGUGGAAGGGAAGCCCUGGGUCCUGCUAAGACUGAACCCCCAGUGAACAUGAUUGUUGGGGGGAGGGCG